UUCAGGGUUUUCCUUGUAGAAUAUACUCAGAAUUGGGAAACCUCAUCUUUUGGGGGUUUCCUGGGAUUGUGCAGUUUGCCCAAGGCCACACAGUGUGACUCCACUCACAGGAGGCAAAAUGGGGAAAAGAACGCCCAACCUCUGGCACCACAGCAGAUACCUACAUCACUGAGCUAACCAGCCAGCAAAGAAUCAUAAAUCAUGACUUAAUUUCUGAAUUUCUGGACAGUUCUGCUUUGUCAGUAUGUUUAAAUAAAUUUGACUCUUCUUAAAUCAAUUUCUUGUGUCUCAUCCCUUUACAGAGUCUUCUGUCUGCAGUGGCUCCUGGCAAAGACCUUUCUUUUAAAUCCCUGAGGCGAUCAAAGUUUCUUCCAGUAGGAGAAUGCCUCUGGAGUGGAAGGAUCAGACAACAGGUGGUGUUGUUUGCAAGGAGACUCCCAAAUAUAUUCCCAUUCUCCAAAAGUACCAACAUGAGGUGAUAUGAACAU
rnacentral:lncRNA from 1 species